rnacentral:rRNA from 1 species
AACGAACGCUGGCGGCAGGCCUAACACAUGCAAGUCGAGCGAGGACUUCGGUCCUAGCGGCGGACGGGUGAGUAACGCGUGGGAACGUGCCCUUUGGUACGGAAUAGCCCCGGGAAACUGGGAGUAAUACCGUAUGGUGUCUUCGGACUAAAGAUUUAUCGCCAAAGGAUCGGCCCGCGUUGGAUUAGGUAGUUGGUGGGGUAAUGGCUACCAAGCCGACGAUCCAUAGCUGGUUUGAGAGGAUGAUCAGCCACACUGGGACUGAGACACGGCCCAGACUCCUACGGGAGGCAGCAGUGGGGAAGUC